AUACGGAGGGUGCAAGCGUUAAUCGGAAUUACUGGGCGUAAAGCGCACGCAGGCGGUCUGUCAAGUCGGAUGUGAAAUCCCCGGGCUCAACCUGGGAACUGCAUUCGAAACUGGCAGGCUGGAGUCUUGUAGAGGGGGGUAGAAUUCCAGGUGUAGCGGUGAAAUGCGUAGAGAUCUGGAGGAAUACCGGUGGCGAAGGCGGCCCCCUGGACAAAGACUGACGCUCAGGUGCGAAAGCGUGGGGAGCAAACAGGAUUAGAUACCCUGGUAGUCCACGCCGUAAACGAUGUCGAUUUGGAGGUUGUGCCCUUGAGGCGUGGCUUCCGGAGCUAACGCGUUAAAUCGACCGCCUGGGGAGUACGGCCGCAAGGUUAAA
rnacentral:rRNA from 1 species